CAAAAACAGUUAUUUGAUGAUUUAUUUCGAUUGUAUAAAGAAUGACAGUUAACGAAUCGCAAGAUCAACCACUGAGGAUUGUUUGGCUUCAUGCAAUGACCUUAAACAGUUAAAGGAUUUUCCAGGAAGGUCUAUACACCACAAGCUGGAUUUUUUGGGGUGAUGAAAGAACUAUGAAUAUGUGAAUGGGAAUGAAACAGAAGGAAUUAAUAUGUUCUACUGAUCAUCCAGCUGAAAUCAUGCCUAUGGAAUAGAGUACAUGUCACAAAUACUGAUAUGAGCAAAUAACUCCAUAUUGCACAAAUAAGGUCAUGUUUCCUGCCCUCAUGACCUGAAAAAGUUAAACAUUCUAAUUCAAAUUACAAAUGUGUUUCAAGAAAAAGUAAAACCUAGUCAACUGUGAGAAAUAUUGGGUAAAAGUAUUGUAUAAGUGUUUUGUUGCCAUGACAGCUGUGAAGUGAUUUGAAAAGCACUAUCUUAAUUGUUUUAACAAUACAGAAUUUAACUUAUGAAUUUUCCAAAACUGCAUGCAUGAAAUACUAAGACAUGUCUGUUGAAUGAAUCCUAGUUGUUUCAAAACUACAACAUGUGUGACAUUUAAAGCACAACCUUUGGAUGAAACAUUUUUACAAUCAUAACUGCCUUGCCUGUGUGAGUGUAGGAAGGAUUUCCCAGAAAUUGCCAUGGCAGAAAACUUCUAAUAUAGCAGAAAAUAUUUGUUACUGGCUAAAUAUAAUACAUUUUAUUUCAAGAAUUAAUCAUGUAAAUCCAUGGUUAUAACUGUGUUAAAAGAUAUUUUUUACAUGAACUUUGCAGAAAUAGCUAAUUUUGUUGCAAAACAUUGUGAGUUGCCAUGGUAACACAAAUUUGACUUAAAUUUAGAUUUGUUUGAUUAUGUAGACAGCAUGUUUCUUGUUUACAUUCUGCUAAUCAGACUAUGUUCUGCAAAAAAUAUCUUUUAUGUGUAAUCAUUGCAUCAACAAAACAUGUCAUAACACAAAUCUGCCAUAAAAUGGCUGAGUUGUAAUGCAGGUAGGCAUAUCAGAAAAAUAUGUAAUUCUCAAAGUCAAAUUAUAUUACAUUAAAUAUGUUUGUUUUUUUAUAAAUGAUCAUAACUGACCAUUUGUGGUGUAAAACAAAUGUAUAUUGAACAGUUGCUAAAUGAAUGUUCUGGUUCUUUCUGGAAAAUUUACAAAAAUACUACUAUUUUAAGAAAAUAGUGCAUUGUUGCCAUUGUAACAUUAAUUUGACUUUUAAAUAUUUUGGAUAUCAGCAUAUGUAAACAACAUCUUUCUUGUUUAUAUGUUAUAUUUGUUAAGCUGUAUUAUGUUAGUGAAUGUAUUUUCAUAUGUAAUUAUUGCAUCAACAAAGCACUAUGUUAUCACACAAGUCUGCCUUAAAAUGGCAAGAGUUGUAACUGAGAGAGGUGUAUCCGAAAAGUAUGUAUUUCUCAAACAAUAUUACAUUAAUUUGCAUGGAAUGAUGUCUCUUACUUUUGAAUAAGAAAACAGACAUCUUUUGAUGUAAAUAUAUGUAGACACACUUCAAAUGUUCAAAGUAUUACAAAGAAAUUGACAAAAAUGUUAGUAUUUUUGUAAGAAAAUACUACAUUGUUGCCAUGGUAAUGUUAGUAUUUUUGUAAGAAAAUACCACAUCGUUGCCAUGGUAAUGAUUCACUGAUCAGUAUAUCUAAGUCUACUGAAAUUUUAGCAAACUCACAGUUGAUAAUAACAGUCUAAUAAUUAUAUCUUCUUGCCUGAUUUUCUUUUUUACUGUUUAAUAGAUAAGGUGUCUAUAACAAUAAGAUUAAUGUCCUAGUUUUUGGGAUGUUAUCUAAUCUGAUAUCAAAUAAAGUCUGUAUUUUGUUCAAAAGAAUGUCAUAAAACAGUUGUCUGUAAGCUGUUUGCACACUAGAAAAAGUUAAUUGUGUAUUUAUUUCACAUUCUAUGUAAUUUAUUGCUAGAUUCAUCAAGGGACUGUUCAAAAAGAGGUUAAACAACAGUGUUGCUAUAGAAACGAUUUUUAGAACAUAAAUAUUUUUAUACUACAUGAAAGAAAGAGACAAAAAGAAAUACAUUCCAUUAAUUGCAUGUUGCUUUUGUUAUUUUAUCAUGUAUUUUAUCUUGAUAUUAUUUAAAUAUGGAAUCAUUAUUAAGAUAUACUACCUCAAUUUUGAUACAGUUAGACAAAAACAUGGUGUCCGAAAAGUGGUAAUAUCUCCAUGACAAUGGCUGAUUUUUGUUGUCAAAUUGAAGAUUUUUACUCAGAACGGGUCAAUCUGUCAGAUUAGCCCAAAACCCCAUUUUUGACCAAAAUUGCAUUUAGACCCAAAAUCUCAUGCUCUGUCAUAUUAUGUUCAUGAAGGUAUUUAUCCCAGUGCUUGGAAACUUGCUAAAGUAAUGCCCCUUUUCAAAAAAGGAAUAAAAAAUAAUCCAUCGAACUACUGACCUAUUUCCUUAAUAAGUUGUGUCGGAAAAGUCAUGGAAAGAGUAAUUUUUAAACAUAUUCCCUACAGUCUGGCUUUUUACCUGGUCAUUCAACUGUCUUUCAGCUAGUAGAUAUGUAUCACCAAAUAUGUGAAUCUUUUGAUGAGAGAAAAUCAACUUACAUUGUUUUCUGUGAUAUUUCUAAAGCAUUUGAUAGAGUUUGACACCGCGGUCUUCUUUUUAAACUUAAACAAUACGGCCUAGAUGACACACUUCUUAGUUGGUUUGAGAGUUAUUUUUUGAAUCGCAAACAAUCUGUCUUUGUUGGUAGUGAAAUCUCGAGGAUACUCCCACUAAAUGCUGGCGUUCCACAGGGCUCGGUCCUUGGGCCUCUACUUUUUUUAUCUAUGUGAACGACAUAGCUGAAAAUCUUUUAAGCAUUACCCGUUUGUUUGCAGAUGACAGCUCCUUAGCUGUAACUUCUUACGAUGUGAAUUAUAUUGAAUCUGUAUUAAACAGUGAUCUAACCACAAUUAGCCGUUGGUCCAAACAGUGGUUAGCUGAUUUUAAUCCUAACAAAACUGAAGUAAUGUUUUUUUUUCUAAUUUACAAGUAAAGCCAUUUCUUUAUUUUAAUGGUAUUCUACUAAAUUAUGUUGGUUUUCAUGAACAUUUAGGUUUAACUUUAUCGUCCGAUCUUAAAUGGCACGAGCAUAUUAGCCACAUAGAAAAGUCUUCAUCGAAAGUUUUGAGUUCUAUGAGAGCCCUAAAAUUCAGAUUAAAAAGAUCUACUCUAAAUCAAAUUUAUAUUUCAUAUAUGAGACCUAUAUUAGAAUAUGCAUCUAUCGUUUGGGAUGGAUGCACUGUACAACAAAAGCAAUCCUUAGAAAAAAUACAAUAUGAAGCGGCGCGUAUAGUUACAGGAUUAACCAGGUCUGUCUCAAUACAAAAUUUAGUUCAAGAAAUAGGAUGGGUCUCCUUAGAGGACAGACGAAAUAUUCAAAAGAUUAUUACAGUUUAUAAAGCUAAAAACAGUCUACUCCCUGAAUUCUUGGCAAAUAGUUUUCCUCCUCUUGUAGCAGAGAUAUCCAAUUACCCUUUGAGAAACAAUAAUAACUAUGUAACAAUAGCUCGAAGAACUCAGACUUAUAGUAACACAUUUAUACCGUCAUCUACCGAUCUAUGGAAUUCACUUGAUAUAAAUAUAAGAAAUUCUGAAUCCCUUAAUAUAUUUAAAUCAAGGCUAAAAGAUUUGUUCAAAGCACCAACAAUCCCCAAACACUUUUUGAUUGGUAAAAGACUUCCCUCAGUAUUAAAUGCAAGGUUAAGAAACCGAUGCAGUAAUCUGAAUAACGAUUUAUACAGAAACCAUUUAAGAGAAAAUCCCAGUUGUGAUUGUGGGUACCCCAUCGAGAAUGCUGAACAUUAUUUCUUUCAGUGUUUGAAAUUUAGAGAACAAAGAAUCGAUCUAUUUUAUGAAACCAGAACUUUUCAUCCUUUAAAUGACACACUACUAUUAUUCGAAUCUGACAUGUACUCAGACGAAAGCAAUUCACUAAUUACUUUCGCGGUGCAUAAAUUUAUCAUAAAUUCUAAUUGUUUUCAGUGAGAAUAGGUGUGACUUGUUAUUUCUACCAGUACCUAACAAUUAAUAUUGAUUAUUAAUCAAACCUCAAUUUAUCUCAAACGAAUACAGUUACUCCUGCCCUUGCCUAGCUUCUGGGAAACAUAUCCAUGAGGAAAAUAAAUAGCAAGCUCAACAUCAUAUAUAACAUUAAACUAGCUACAGUUUUCUUUUUUAGUGUCAGUCAUACUUUGGUCAUUUCUUCAUUCAAUUUUUUGUAAUACAUGUUAUGAUUGUUUAUUUCGUAAAAGUAAUUAAUUCUAUGUAAUAUUCAAUUUUCAAGAGAAGGGCCGUUUA